CUGACAGAAGCACAAAAAGUUGCUCUUUUUGGGAAAAGGAAAAAAGUGGUACUUACAUUUGCACUUGUGUUCGUUGGUAGUUUAGAUGCGACAAACUUUCCCGCAGCAGCUGGUCCCCCAUACAAAACAUUUGUUUCUUCGACCUGAGCUGCUCCCGCAUGUACGUCCUUUAGCUGCCAGAAAAAAGAAGAUGAAGUAAUUAUAAUCCUACUGCCAAAUGAGCAAUUCUCCAGCAAAUUUGUUAACAAAAAAAAGCAAAAAAUGGCUUGUCUUUGGCAACUAUUUGCAACUGCUGAGAAAAAACUGACACACUCACCGGCAACUUGCCGAACUGCCCAUCCUCCUUUGUGUCCUUCUUAAUGACUUUCUUAAUAAGAGCUGGGGUCUAUGCUUGAACCCUCAUCCCGCAGCCACUGAUGCGCUCGCCGUGGUCAAGGGAGUCCAGGUAUAACAUCUGCCGAAAACACACAUAAAAAUACAAAAACACAUAAAACAAAGAUGCCGCAAAGUGACAAAGAAAAAAAUGUGGACUGAAUAAACAUACCAGAAGAUGGAAUACACAGCACGACACCGAAUUUUCUUGUUGCCA
rnacentral:lncRNA from 1 species